rnacentral:rRNA from 1 species
UACGGAAGGCAGCAGUGGGGAAUAUUGCACAAUGGGCGAAAGCCUGAUGCAGCUAUGCCGCGUGUAUGAAGAAGGCCUUAGGGUUGUAAAGUACUUUCAUCGGGGAGGAAAAAACAAAACUAAUAAUUUUAUUUCUUGACGUUACCCGAAAAAGAAGCACCGGCUAACUCCGUGCCAGCAGCCGCGGUAAUACGGAGGGUGCUAGCGUUAAUCAGAAUUACUGGGCGUAAAGAGCACGUAGGUGGUUUUUUUAAAGUCAGAUGUGAAAUCCCUGGGCUUAACUUAGGAACUGCAUUUUGAAACUGAAAUACUAGAGUAUCGUAGAGGGAGGUAGAAUUCUAGGUGUAGCGGUGAAAUGCGUAGAUAUCUGGAGGAAUACCUGUGGCGAAAGCGGCCUCCUAAACGAAUACUGACACUGAGGUGCGAAAGCGUGGGGAGCAAACAGGGAUUAGAUACC